rnacentral:rRNA from 1 species
UACGGGGGGGGCAAGCGUUGUUCGGAAUUACUGGGCGUAAAGAGUGUGUAGGCGGUGUUCCCAGUCUGUUGUGAAAUCUCCCGGCUUAACUGGGAGGGUGCAGCGGAAACUAGAAUGCUAGAGGGUGGGAGAGGUAAGCGGAAUUCCUGGUGUAGCGGUGAAAUGCGUAGAUAUCAGGAGGAACACCUGUGGUGUAGACAGCUUACUGGACCACUUCUGACGCUGAGACACGAAAGCGUGGGUAGCAAACAGG